GUGUCUUCGAGUCGUUGAUUUCACACUGCCGAGAAAAGCCUCUAGAUAGAAAAUAGGUGCCCGUACCGCAAACCGACACAGGUAGUCAAGAUGAGAAUUCUAAGGUGAGCGAGCGAACUCUCGUUAAGGAACUCGGCAAAAUGACCCCGUAACUUCGGGAGAAGGGGUGCUCUUUAGGGUUAACGCCCAGAAGAGCCGCAGUGAAUAGGCCCAAGCGACUGUUUAUCAAAAACACAGGUCUCUGCUAAACCGUAAGGUGAUGUAUAGGGGCUGACGCCUGCCCGGUGCUGGAAGGUUAAGAGGAGUGGUUAGCUUCUGCGAAGCUACGAAUCGAAGCCCCAGUAAACGGCGGCCGUAACUAUAACGGUCCUAAGGUAGCGAAAUUCCUUGUCGGGUAAGUUCCGACCCGCACGAAAGGCGUAACGAUUUGGGCACUGUCUCAACGAGAGACUCGGUGAAAUCAUAGUACCUGUGAAGAUGCAGGUUACCCGCGACAGGACGGAAAGACCCCGUGGAGCUUUACUGUAGCCUGAUAUUGAAAUUCGGCACAGCUUGUACAGGAUAGGUAGGAGCCUUUGAAACGUGAGCGCUAGCUUACGUGGAGGCGCUGGUGGGAUACUACCCUAGCUGUGUUGGCUUUCUAACCCGCACCACUUAUCGUGGUGGGAGACAGUGUCAGGCGGGCAGUUUGACUGGGGCGGUCGCCUCCUAAAAGGUAACGGAGGCGCUCAAAGGUUCCCUCAGAAUGGUUGGAAAUCAUUCAUAGAGUGUAAAGGCAUAAGGGAGCUUGACUGCGAGACCUACAAGUCGAGCAGGGUCGAAAGACGGACUUAGUGAUCCGGUGGUUCCGCAUGGAAGGGCCAUCGCUCAACGGAUAAAAGCUACCCCGGGGAUAACAGGCUUAUCUCCCCCAAGAGUUCACAUCGACGGGGAGGUUUGGCACCUCGAUGUCGGCUCAUCGCAUCCUGGGGCUGUAGUCGGUCCCAAGGGUUGGGCUGUUCGCCCAUUAAAGCGGUACGCGAGCUGGGUUCAGAACGUCGUGAGACAGUUCGGUCCCUAUCCGUCGUGGGCGUAGGAAAUUUGAGAGGAGCUGUCCUUAGUACGAGAGGACCGGGAUGGACAUACCUCUGGUGUACCAGUUGUCGUGCCAACGGCAUAGCUGGGUAGCUAUGUGUGGACGGGAUAAGUGCUGAAAGCAUCUAAGCAUGAAGCCCCCCUCAAGAUGAGAUUUCCCAACUUCGGUU
rnacentral:rRNA from 1 species